CAAGAUAACAUACGGCGAAUGGUGGAUGCCUUGGGAGGUUGAGGCGAUGAAGGACGUGGGGUGACUGCGAUAAGCCUCGGGGAGGUGUCUACCAACCUUUGAUCCGGGGAUUUCCGAAUGGGGGAACCCAACGCGACUAAAAACCGCGUUACCCCGUACCAUACGGUACAGGGAGCGUACUCGCUGAAGUGAAACAUCUUAGUAAGCGGAGGAAAAGAAAAAAAAGCGAAGCAAUCUUGUUUCGCAAUAUUCCCUUAGUAGCGGCGAGCGAAGAGGGAAAAGCCCAGAGCUAUCUAAUAACUAUUAAUUAGUUAUCAAAUAGCAGUUGUAAGUUAGAUAUAUCCCAGAGCGAAAGUUUUGGGCAGAGCUAAACUAAAAUGUGAUUUGAUUAGCCAAAGUAUCCUGGAAAGGAAUGCCAAAGAUGGUAAUAGCCCAGUAGGCGAAAAUCAUCACAUGCUCUGAAUAUUUAUACUUGAGUACCGCCCGGGAAUGAAAUCCCUGCGGGAAGCAGGCUAAACUACUAGCCAAGGCUAAAUACUCAACCUCACCGAUAGUGAACUAGUACGUACCGUGAGGGAAAGGUGAAAAGUAGGGAGGUAAUCCCGGUGAAAUAGAACCUGAAACCAUUUGCUAACAAAAAAUCGGAGCCGCGUCUGACGCGGUGACGGUGUACCUUUUGGAGCAGGCACCAACGAGUUCGUGCACUCUCUUAGUCUAAACCCUUAUGGGGUGGAGGCAUAGAGAAAUCGAGUGUUAAAAGCGCGUUCACCCGCUAACAUCUGCGAAGUUGUGGCGGGUAAAGAGAGUGUGCGAGACCCGAAGCCAAGCGAGCUUGCCAUGGCCAGGGUGAGUCUCGCCGAAAGGCGAGAGGAGGCCCGAACCCGUGGAUCGUGCAAAAUCCUGGGAUGAGCUGUGGUAAGAGGCGAAACGCUAAUCGAGCUUGGUAAUAGCUGGUUCUCCUCGAAAUAGCUUUGGGGCUAGCCUGGGGAAUUAGAAAGUGGAGGUAGAGCACUGGAAGGGAUAUUGUGGCGCAAGCUAGGUAUUCCUACCAAACUCCGAAUUCCAUUUUUGUAAUCCCUGGAGUAAGAACUUGGGCGCUAAUGUCCAGGCUCAAGAGGGAAACAACCCAGACCUUCAUCUAAGGUCCCGAAAUCUAAGCUAAGUGAGAAAGGAGGUGAAAUUCCUCAGAUAGUUAGGAGGUGAGCUCAGAAGCAGCUAUCCUUUAAAAAGUGCGUAACAGCUUACUAACUAAGGAGUUUUGCGCCAAAAAUGUAACGGGACUCAAGCUUAGUACCGAAGAUAAGGCCCUGCACCGUACGGUGCAGGGGGUAGAGGAGCGUUCUCAGGGCAGUGAAGUCAAACCGUAAGGUUUGGUGGAGCGUUGAGAAGUGAGAAUGUUGGUAUGAGUAACCGCAAUCAGGGUGAAAUCCCCUGACACCGAAAACCCAAGGUUUCCUUGGCAAUGACAAUCAACCAAGGGUUAGGCGGACCUAAGGGAAAGCCGAAAGGCGUACCCGAUGGACAGUCGGUUAAUAUUCCGACCCCUCGCCAAAGUUUUUCCUUAGAAUGACGAAGGUUUGUAGUCUUCGUGUAUUAUUGGAUUUACAUCUACUCUUUGAGGAAGUUUUCUUCUAAUGAAGAGUGGGAAGUUCUGACUUCGGUCAGAAUAACGAAGAUGAGCAACCUUCCCGGAAAAGUUUUAAGGAAGGAAAACUUAGGCGGGUCCGUACCGCAAACCGACACAGGUGGGUUGGUGUAAGAGUACUAAGGUGAACGGGUGAAACCUCGUUAAGGAACUCGGCAAACAAGUGGUCGUAACUUCGGAAGAUGGCCUACCCGUACCAUACGGUAUGGGUCGCAGCAAACGUGCCUUUGGCGACUGUUUAUCUAAAACACAGGUCCCUGCUUAACUUGUAAAAGGAAGUAUAGGGGCUGACGCCUGACCAGUGCCGGAACGUUAAGCUCGCGGGUCGUCCUGAGUUUAUCGAAGGAUGGCUGAGUGAGUUAAGCUUCCGGUGAACGUCCGCGGUAACUAUAACCGUGUUAAAGUAGCGUAAUCCCUUGUCGGGUAAGUUCCGACCCGCAUGAAGGGCGUAACGACUGAAGGACUGUCUCAACGAGGAGCCCGGUGAAAAUACAAUGAGGGUGAAGAUGCCUUCUACCUGCGGCUAGACGAAAAGACCCCGGGAGCUUUACUGUAGCUUGAUAUUGGAUUUUGGUUUUGGAUGCGUAGUGUAGAAGGGAGACUUUGAAGUCUGGUUUUCGGGCCAGAUGGAGUCGUCAAUGAAACACCUUCCUUUCAAAGUCAUAGUUCUAAUCCGUCUUUACGGCGGAAACAGUGUUUAGUGGGCAGUUUAAGUGGGGCACUUGCCUCCUAAAAAGUAACGGAGGCGUUUAAAGGUCGGCUAAGUACGGAUGGAAAUCGUACGCGUCGGGCAAAGCCAUAAGCCGGCUUUACUGCGAACAUAAUGCUGUGAGCAGUUGGGAAACCAGAACUUAGUGAACCGACGGUUGGUCGUAGGACCGCCGAAGAUCAUCAGCUAAAAGUUACCCCGGGGAUAACAGGCUAGUCGGGCCCGCGAGUCCAUAUCAACGGCCCGGUUCGGCACCUCGAUGUCGGCUCACCACAUCCUGGAGGUGGAGAAGCUUCCAAGGGUCGGUCUGUUCGCCCGUUAAAGUGGUUCGUGAGCUGGGUUCAGAACGCCGUGAGGCAGUUCGGUCUCUAUCUACCGCAGGCGUUGAGUCUUGAGGGGAGUUGGUCUUAGUACGAGAGGACCAGACUGAACCAACCUCUAGUGUACCAGUUGUUCCGCCAGGAGCAUCGCUGGGUAGCUACGUUGGGAAGGGAUAAGCGCUGAAAGCAUCUAAGCACGAAGCCCACCCCAAGAUUAGGACUUUUAGAUUCCUCAAAGAUGAUGAGGUUGAUAGGCUGCAGGUGUAAGUAGGGUAACCUAUUGAGCCGAGCAGUACUAAUAAAUCAUAAUUUCUUGCCU
rnacentral:rRNA from 1 species